UCAGCCUACAGCCAGACCGUAGUGAUUGCAUCCACUCUCGGAAACUAAGCAGGCUUGGCCCCGGUUAGUAUCUGGAUAGGAGACUGCCUGGGAACGCGGUAGGCUGCC
rnacentral:rRNA from 1 species